UACGUAGGGUGCGAGCGUUGUCCGGAACUAUUGGGCGUAAAGGGCUCGUAGGCGGUUUGUCGCGUCGGGAGUGAAAACACUGGGCUUAACUCAGUGCUUGCUUCCGAUACGGGCAGACUAGAGGUAUUCAGGGGAGAACGGAAUUCCUGGUGUAGCGGUGAAAUGCGCAGAUAUCAGGAGGAACACCGGUGGCGAAGGCGGUUCUCUGGGAAUGUCCUGACGCUGAGGAGCGAAAGUGUGGGGAGCGAACAGG
rnacentral:rRNA from 1 species